UUUUCUUCACAACCAAAUAUUUUCGUUUUGCAUCCCGUAGGAAAAAGAAAAAAAGAAAGAGAAUUAUUAUGGGGGAGGAGAAAAAGUACCAUGCAUAUCAAUGAAAAAGAAGAAAACUUCAUUAUUAAUAACAUUUUGUUCAUUAAGACAUAGAUUUUACAUUGUUCUCCACGGGGAAAGAAAAAUUUCUCAAGGGGCUCACGGGGGUGGCCCUUGGAGACCUAGGAAGCUCAGAAAUCCUACUCUCGGAGUAGUCAUAAGGGGGCCAAAAACCCACACAAUAAGUUGCAAGAUUCAAUCGAUCAAAAA
rnacentral:lncRNA from 1 species